rnacentral:rRNA from 1 species
CGUACACUCCUGCGGGAGGCAGCAGUGGGGAAUAUUGGACAAUGGGCGCAAGCCUGAUCCAGCCAUGCCGCGUGAGUGAUGAAGGCCCUAGGGUUGUAAAGCUCUUUCACCGGUGAAGAUAAUGACGGUAACCGGAGAAGAAGCCCCGGCUAACUUCGUGCCAGCAGCCGCGGUAAUACGAAGGGGGCUAGCGUUGUUCGGAUUUACUGGGCGUAAAGCGCACGUAGGCGGACUAUUAAGUCAGGGGUGAAAUCCCGGGGCUCAACCCCGGAACUGCCUUUGAUACUGGUAGUCUUGAGUUCGAGAGAGGUGAGUGGAAUUCCGAGUGUAGAGGUGAAAUUCGUAGAUAUUCGGAGGAACACCAGUGGCGAAGGCGGCUCACUGGCUCGAUACUGACGCUGAGGUGCGAAAGCGUGGGGAGCAAACAGGAUUAGAAACCCGUGUAGUCCCAUG